UGCCUAGGAUGGACCCUAAAUUCUGACACCUCAUAUGAAACUGUCUUGAUUCUAUUGCUUGGGCUGAGGCAC
ensembl:snoRNA